rfam:Megamonas funiformis YIT 11815 genomic scaffold supercont1.5, whole genome shotgun sequence.
CUCCUCUUAAUAAGUGUGGAAGAUUCUUAUGUGUUUUUUAGUUUGACCUCUGCACUGAUUAUAUUUUAUAUCCUAAGGAGGAUUUUAUAAUGGGAACAGGUACAGUUAAAUGGUUUAAUUCUGGUAAAGGCUAUGGCUUCAUUACUAAUGAUGACGGAUCUGGAGAUUUAUUCGUUCAUUUCUCCGCUAUCAAUUCUGAAGGCUUCAAAACUUUAGAAGAAGGUCAAAAAGUUACUUUUGAUACAGAAGCUGACAGCCGUGAUGCUAGCAAACUUCGUGCAGUAAACGUUACUGUUGUAAAAUAAUAAUAGAAAAAAGAGCAAUCAUAUGAUUGCUCUUUUUUA